GAGAGCCGUAUGAGGUGAAAAUUUCAUGUACGGUUCGGACUGGGAGUUGUGGUAAGCGAUUACCACUUCGACCCCUAAU
rfam:Crocosphaera watsonii WH 8501 ctg361, whole genome shotgun sequence.